CAACUCAAAGUCUAGCGUUUCUCCUCUCCCUCCCUCUACCUGUGCCGCUCUCGUUCUCUCCUUCUACAGCCACAGUCUUUCUUUAUACCUCCCGUCGCUUUUGUUCUUCACCGUCGCCUCUGCAGCAGCCGCAGUCGUGCUCUUCAAGCGUACAAGAGCUAGAUUUUUGUUCAUGCGCAGAGUCGAAUGUAUGCUUGUUGUGCGGAAGAAGAUAAGCUGAUUGUUAAUCCUUGCAAUCUUGGGUCUUGAAAAAGUGGAGUUCAAGAAUUACAUUCAUGUAAAAUUUCUUCCGUUGUUAUUGUAAUUUUGUUCUGUUUUAAUGUACUUUUUAAUUCAGUAAUUUUUUUUAUUGAGAUACUUUUUAAUAUGUUCUA